AGUGAACGCUGGCGGUAGGCCUAACACAUGCAAGUCGAACGGCAGCACAGGAGAGCUUGCUCUCUGGGUGGCGAGUGGCGGACGGGUGAGGAAUACAUCGGAAUCUACUUUUUCGUGGGGGAUAACGUAGGGAAACUUACGCUAAUACCGCAUACGACCUACGGGUGAAAGCAGGGGACCUUCGGGCCUUGCGCGAUUGAAUGAGCCGAUGUCGGAUUAGCUAGUUGGCGGGGUAAAGGCCCACCAAGGCGACGAUCCGUAGCUGGUCUGAGAGGAUGGUCAGCCACACUGGAACUGAGACACGGUCCAGACUCCUACGGGAGGCAGCAGUGGGGAAUAUUGGACAAUGGGCGCAAGCCUGAUCCAGCCAUACCGCGUGGGUGAAGAAGGCCUUCGGGUUGUAAAGCCCUUUUGUUGGGAAAGAAAUCCAGCUGGCUAAUACCCGGUUAGGAUGACGGUACCCAAAGAAUAAGCACCGGCUAACUUCGUGCCAGCAGCCGCCGUAA
rnacentral:rRNA from 1 species